rnacentral:lncRNA from 1 species
AGAGUUCCUUCCUUGCACUGUGAUGCGGCGGUCAAUUGCACAAGAAUACUACGAAGAGUUGAUCGAGGAAACGGAAGGGUGAUUCUUGCUUUUGAUGCCGACCGAAGGAAGCGAUCUAAAUGAGCAUCCAGCUCAUAGAUGUAGCUACAAAAAUAGGAUAGGUUAUAUUAAGCUUUAUAAACAUAUAUUAACUAAUGCCUCAAAGAGAUAUCAUGAACUCGUGGGUUCAUCUAACAGGUUGGGGAUUCGAAUCUCGACACCUAUAACACCUCUCUCGAUCCCAAACUAUCGGUCUCCUUUGUACCGAAAAUAGGGAAACCAGGGACCUACCCAUCUAGAAUGACUGCUGUAUCGAAUACACCGUGGCCUCGAUGAACCAUGUGAUCAUCUAUGGGAAUUACCAUCAUGGCAGGGUGAAGAAUGAUCCCUCCGAAAACGCUGGAAUACAUAGCCGGAUAUGGUUUCUUCUUCACCGGACUCCACUUCUCGUGCAGCUUUUCGAUCAACUGAUAGACACACACACAAAAUAUCAGGAAAUACCAAUGACACAAGACUGGUCUAUUUCAUGAAACUUAACCCUCUACUUUUCGGAUUUUUUUGGAUUUAAAGUUGCAAGUCUAAUGGUUCGUGUUGCUUAAAUUCUUCUAUUAAAUUUAAGUUCAUUACAACAUUUUUUUGUUAC